rnacentral:rRNA from 1 species
UACGGAGGGAGCUAGCGUUAUUCGGAAUUACUGGGCGUAAAGCGCACGUAGGCGGCUUUGUAAGUUAGAGGUGAAAGCCUGGAGCUCAACUCCAGAACUGCCUUUAAGACUGCAUCGCUUGAAUCCAGGAGAGGUGGGUGGAAUUCCGAGUGUAGAGGUGAAAUUCGUAGAUAUUCGGAAGAACACCAGUGGCGAAGGCGGCUCACUGGACUGGUAUUGACGCUGAGGUGCGAAAGCGUGGGGAGCAAACAGG